CAAAAAAAAGCCCCGCAGAUUAUUCUGCAGGGUCCUUCUACGUACCUUAAAUAAGGCUAGAAGGCAAAGGGAGAGGAGAAACCGGAGGAAGAACUUAUGGGGAAACGUAAGUCUUCUCCGCGG
rnacentral:ncRNA from 1 species